GCUCAGAACGAACGCUGGCGGCAGGCUUAACACAUGCAAGUCGAACGCCCCGCAAGGGGAGUGGCAGACGGGUGAGUAACGCGUGGGAAUCUACCUAGUUCUACGGAACAACAGUUGGAAACGACUGCUAAUACCGUAUACGCCCUACGGGGGAAAGAUUUAUCGGAAUUAGAUGAGCCCGCGUAAGAUUAGCUAGUUGGUGGGGUAAUGGCCUACCAAGGCGACGAUCUUUAGCUGGUCUGAGAGGAUGAUCAGCCACACUGGGACUGAGACACGGCCCAGACUCCUACGGGAGGCAGCAGUGGGGAAUAUUGGACAAUGGGCGCAAGCCUGAUCCAGCCAUGCCGCGUGAGUGAUGAAGGCCUUAGGGUUGUAAAGCUCUUUCACCGAUGAAGAUAAUGACGG
rnacentral:rRNA from 1 species